GGGGAAGGGCUGUCGCUCAGAGGUAGGGCAUCUGCUUUGCAGAAGGUCCCAGGUUCAAUCCCUGACAUCCCCA